UACGGAGGGUGCAAGCGUUAUCCGGAUUCACUGGGUUUAAAGGGUGCGUAGGCGGAUUUGUAAGUCCGUGGUGAAAUCUCCGAGCUUAACUCGGAAACUGCCAUGGAUACUAUAAGUCUUGAAUGUUGUGGAGGUUUGCGGAAUAUGUCAUGUAGCGGUGAAGUGCUUAGAUAUGACAUAGAACACCAAUUGCGAAGGCAGCUUACUACACAGCGAUUGACGCUGAGGCACGAAAGCGUGGGGAUCAAACAGG
rnacentral:rRNA from 1 species